AAAAUACUCCCUCCGUUCCGAAAUAAGUCAUACGUUUGGGAAAAAUUCUUGUUCCGAAAUAUUUCAUACGUUUGGGAAAAAAUUGGGAUUAAGGGAAAGUUUGUUGGUAAAUGUUUUGUGUUUUAUUUCGGAACAAGAAUUUUUCCCAAACGUAUGACUUAUUUCGGAACGGAGGGAGUAUUUU
rfam:Phlebotomus papatasi Contig2718.5, whole genome shotgun sequence.